rnacentral:rRNA from 1 species
GAUUGAACGUGCUUGCACGGACUUGGCGUUGGUUUACCAGCGAGUGGCGGACGGGUGAGUAACACGUAGGUAACCUGCCCCAAAGCGGGGGAUAACAUUUGGAAACAGAUGCUAAUACCGCAUAACAAUUUGAAUCGCAUGAUUCAAAUUUAAAAGAUGGCUUCGGCUAUCACUUUGGGAUGGACCUGCGGCGCAUUAGCUUGUUGGUAGGGUAACGGCCUACCAAGGCUGUGAUGCGUAGCCGAGUUGAGAGACUGAUCGGCCACAAUGGAACUGAGACACGGUCCAUACUCCUACGGGAGGCAGCAGUAGGGAAUCUUCCACAAUGGGCGCAAGCCUGAUGGAGCAACACCGCGUGAGUGAAGAAGGGUUUCGGCUCGUAAAGCUCUGUUGUUAGAGAAGAACGUGCGUGAGAGCAACUGUUCACGCAGUGACGGUAUCUAACCAGAAAGUCACGGCUAACUACGUGCCAGCAGCCGCGGUAAUACGUAGGUGGCAAGCGUUAUCCGGAUUUAUUGGGCGUAAAGCGAGCGCAGGCGGUUUGAUAAGUCUGAUGUGAAAGCCUUUGGCUUAACCAAAGAAGUGCAUCGGAAACUGUCAGACUUGAGUGCAGAAGAGGACAGUGG